rnacentral:rRNA from 1 species
UACGAAGGGGGCAAGCGUUGUUCGGAAUUACUGGGCGUAAGGGCGCGUAGGCGGCUUUCAAGUCAGGCGUGAAAUUCCCGGGCUCAACCUGGGGGCUGCGUCCGAUACUGGAAGGCUAGAAUCCGGGAGAGGGAUGCGGAAUUCCAGGUGUAGCGGUGAAAUGCGUAGAUAUCUGGAGGAACACCGGUGGCGAAGGCGGCAUCCUGGACCGGUAUUGACGCUGAGGCGCGAAAGCCAGGGGAGCAAACGGG